AGUUCCUGCGACGCCCCUGCAGCAGCAGCAGCGUGGUCAGAGCGAGCUUCUGAGCGGUGGUUCAUCUGCGUUGCUCUAAAUGGGACUGUUUCAUUAUUUUGAUGGCUGAAGAAUAUUUCCUAGUGUAUGUAUAUGAGAGUUUCUUGAUCUCUUUAUCUGUGGAUGAACAGCUACUUUGAAAUAUAUGAUACAUUUGUGUUAAGGCUAGUCACGCUGCUGUGGAAUAGAAGGCCAGAAUUGAUCACUAUCAUCUGAGAGUAACUUUGUACCCAUCACUGAUUCCUUCCGAGACUGCCUCCACUUCCCCAGCAGCCUCUGAUUUCUUCAUGUGGCUGCAGAUGGCAGGAUUUCCCAAAGGUUUAUGGCUGCAACAUAUUCCGUGGUGUAUCUGUACAGCAGUUUCCUCAUUCCUGCAGCUGUGUUUGAACAGGUCAUUUACCAUGCGGUCCUCCAGGUUCAACAGUAUGGCUCCAAAUGAUGAAAUUUCAUUCUGAUUUUCUGGCUGAAGACUAUUCUGUUUGUGUAUGUCCACCACAGUUACUUUAUCCCUUCAUCUGUGGAUGGGCAGUUGGUUGGCAGAGAAUUUGAACUGGAGAUGAACUUUAUUAUCCAGGAUGCUGAGAGUAUAACAUGCAUGACAGAGCUUUUAGAGCACUGUGAUGUAACAUGUCAAGCAGAAAUAGGGAGCAUGUUUACAGCCAUUCUAUGAAAAAGUGUUCGGAAUGUACAGACUAGCACAGAAGCUGGACUAAUUGAACAAGUAUUGCUGAAAAUGAGUGCUGUAGAUGACAUGAUAGCAGUGGUACAUGAUCAGCAUUGUCCACAUUUACAAUCGAUGGAGAAACAGUGAAAUUCAGUGUUAUGUUAAUGGACAACUGGUAUCUUAUGGUGAUAUGGCUUGGCAUGUUAACACAAAUGACAGCUAUGACAAGUGCUUUCUUGGAUCAUCAGAAACUGCUGAUGCAAAUAGGGUAUUCUGUGGUCAACUUGGUGCCGUGUAUGUGUUCAGUGAAGCACUCAACCCAGCACAGAUAUUUGCAAUUCAUCAGUUAGGACCUAGAUAUAAGAGUACCUUCAAGUUUAAAUCUGAGAGUGAUAUUCAUUUGGCAGAACAUCAUAAACAGGUUUUGUAUGAUGGGAAACUUGCAAGUAGCAUUACCUUUACAUAUACUGCUAAGGCCACUGAUGCUCAACUCUGCCUGGAAUCAUCACCAAAAGAGAAUGCAUCAAUUUUUGUGCAUUCCCAACAUGCUCUAAUGCUUCAGAUUCAAGUGCUUUUUCCACUGUUUCCCCAAUUGGAUAAUCGGCAGCUCAAUGACAGUCAAGUGGAAACAACUGUCUGGGGCCUAAUGUCCACCUAAGACGUGGUGUUCACCUGGGGUCUGAUGUUCAGCUGAAGACUGGAUGUCCACCUGGAGCUGAGGAAUCCACCCAGGGACUGGUGUUGAACUGGGGCCUGAUGACCACCGGGGGACAAGGUAUCCACACCAGGCUUGAUGUCCACCUGUCACCAGAUGUCUACCUCCUGCUUCAGGUGCAGAAAUACAGCGAUUUCCAGUGCCAGCUGUUGAGCCAGUGCCAGCACCAGGGGCAGAUUCCCCUCCAGGGACAGCGCUGGAGCUAGAGGAAGCUCCAGAGCCCUCCUGCCGCUGCCCUGGGACUGCCCAGGACCAGCCCAGUGAGGAGCUGCCUGACUUCAUGGCACCUCCUGUAGAGCCACCGGCCUCAGCCCUGGAGCUGAAAGUGUGGCUGGAGCUAGAGGUGGCAGAGAGGGGUGGCCAGCACAGCUCCAGCCAGCAGCUCCCACACUGCUCCCAGUCCUGGGCACAGUGGAAGCUAUGGAGGCAGAGACCAGGGUUUGCAAUCUGGGCUCCUCUGCCUCACUGGAGAGGGACUUCUCUCAUUCAGCAGAGCAGCAGCCCUGCUGCUGAAGGGCCUGCUGCUACUGCUGCUGGGGCUGUUUGCCUGCCUGCAGGAGGUGCUGGAGAGCAAGAAAAGGAGCCUGUGAGCAGGGGUUCCAGCAGGUCCUCCUGCUCCCAGAGGCGACCUCCUCCUCCAGGCAUGGAGGUUUGCCCUCAGCUGGGCAUCUGGGCCAUUUGCCCCUAACGUGCUGCCCAGGAUGGCCUCCUCUUGACAGGCGGACAGGGGGUGAGGGGGCCAGGGGGCAUCUCCAAAGGAAGCUUUUAAACUCAGCAGCUGCACCCCAGAAUCUGUAUGCCUGCACCUGCCCAAGGAUUUAUUCAUAGCUUACCUAAGAAUUUCAAAUUUCUACCAUAACACUGAAUAAAGUUUGACUUUUUGAAACUUC
rnacentral:lncRNA from 1 species